GGGCAGCUGGAGUAUCCUGGCUCCAGAAAUGCCCCAGCGUUCCCUCAUCUGCACAAGCAUUCAUUUGAGCCACCUUGUGCCACCAUGAACCACACACUUCUGAGAUCAGAACAAGGCACCCAGUGAUGAUCACAUGGUGGAUGCUUCAUUUGGACUUCAGAAUAGGUGGCAACAGCAGCAGACAUAGCAGGCAGCUCAGUGGAAUGGCCAUGCUUAAAGUUGUCCCAGCAUGUGAGUGGAUGGCUCAGUAUCUUCCCAGAAAAUCCAGAGGGUGCUGAGUUCCCAGGCAACCAUUUAGCACUACACUGAAAAAGAGAUGAAGACCCAUUAUUUUCUCUAUAUCCUCCUUAUCUGCACUCUUCUUUCUGAAUCUGGAGAAUCAGUCCACAAUCCAGCUACUUGUACAAAAAGCAAUGGGCACUGCGUAGUGAUGAGCUGUCCUCCAAAUUUUUAUGAGAUUGGAAGAUGUAGUAAAGAGGUCUCUUGCUGUAGAGGAUGAGCAUGGUGCGAGUACGUCCCAUACUUAAGAUGAUUCAGAUAAGAAACACAUACUAUAUGUACAUGAAGACAUUUCAUUUCUAUUGCAUCUCAGCUAGAAAAAGGAUCUCAUCUCGUUUUAAUGCCAGCCUGACCAAUUAUGUGCCAUGACUUUUUCAAGAGUUCAAGAACUACUACAUAACCUGUGCUUUGAAAAUGACAAAGCUCUUAUAUUAAUAAAAUCAA